GACGAACGCUGGCGGCGUGCCUAAUACAUGCAAGUUGAGCGCUGAAGGUUGGUACUUGUACCAACUGGAUGAGCAGCGAACGGGUGAGUAACGCGUGGGGAAUCUGCCUUUGAGCGGGGGACAACAUUUGGAAACGAAUGCUAAUACCGCAUAAAAACUUUAAACACAAGUUUUAAGUUUGAAAGAUGCAAUUGCAUCACUCAAAGAUGAUCCCGCGUUGUAUUAGCUAGUUGGUGAGGUAAAGGCUCGCCAAGGCGAUGAUACAUAGCCGACCUGAGAGGGUGAUCGGCCACAUUGGGACUGAGACACGGCCCAAACUCCUACGGGAGGCAGCAGGAGGGAAUCUUCGGCAAUGGACGAAAGUCUGACCGAGCAACGCCGCGUGAGUGAAGAAGGGUGUCGGAUCGUAAAACUCUGUUGGUAGAGAAGAACGUUGGUGAGAGUGGAAAGCUCAUCAAGUGACGGUAACUACCCAGAAAGGGACGGCUAACUACGUG
rnacentral:rRNA from 1 species